rnacentral:tRNA from 1 species
CGGCGUCCGGCGCGCCGGCGGAGGGCUGCGUCGGCUCGGUCCCGGCGGGCGGCUCGAUCGCGGCGUCGACGGACGGUUCGGCGGCCGCGGGCGUCGAC